UAGGGAAUAUUGGACAAUGGGGGCAACCCUGAUCCAGCCAUGCCGCGUGAGUGAAGAAGGCCCUCGGGUUGUAAAGCUCUUUUGUCCGGAAAGAAAAGCUUCGGGUUAAUACCCCGGGGUUCUGACGGUACCGGAAGAAUAAGCACCGGCUAACUUCGUGCCAGCAGCCGCGGUAAUACGAAGGGUGCAAGCGUUACUCGGAAUUACUGGGCGUAAAGCGUGCGUAGGUGGUUGUUUAAGUCUGAUGUGAAAGCCCUGGGCUCAACCUGGGAAUGGCAUUGGAAACUGGGCAGCCAGAGUGCGGUAGAGGGUAGUGGAAUUCCCGGUGUAGCAGUGAAAUGCGUAGAGAGCGGGAGGAACAUCUGUGGCGAAGGCGACUGCCUGGACCAGCACUGACACUGAGGCACGAAAGCGUGGGGAGCAAACA
rnacentral:rRNA from 1 species